UUGUGGCCCAUGCCAAUGGUGGAUUCUCUGUGGAUAUGGAAGUUCUUCGGAAUGGGGUGAAGGUCGUGCGGUCUCUGAAGCCGGAUUUUGUGCUGAUCCGCCAGCACGCCUUCAGCAUGGCACGCAACGGAGACUACCGCAGUUUGGUCAUUGGGCUGCAAUAUGCUGGAAUCCCCAGUGUUAACUCCUUGCAUUCUGUCUACAACUUCUGUGACAAGCCCUGGGUGUUUGCCCAGAUGGUUCGACUGCAUAAGAAACUGGGGACAGAAGAAUUCCCUCUAAUUGAUCAGACCUUCUACCCCAAUCACAAAGAAAUGGUGAGUUUGGGGAAAAUAGAGUGGGCAGGAGGGAAGAGUCAUAACUACUGCAAUAAUAUUAAAUAUUGGUAUAUUAUCAGUGGUGCGAUAUCAAGAGUGUGGCUGCUGUGCGCACGUGGAGUCAUGAAGUUGCUUUGCGAUAGGGUCUACCAUGAAUUUCCUUAUGCUUACAAGGAAAACUAAAUCAUGAUCCAUUCUAAUAUUUAUCAGAUCCUGUUACUCAUGUUAUCUAUUUUUGCCAGUAUUAAAAACCGAUUUCUAAUGUGAA
rnacentral:sRNA from 1 species